AUUCCAUGAUGAGGGCACUUCUGUAAUAAUUCUUUGUAUCUUUCCCAUGCCUAAUACAAUUACUCAUCAUCUAUUUGCUAGAAAGCAAUGAUCUCGUUCCUCAACUU
rfam:Gossypium raimondii Chr05_contig_599, whole genome shotgun sequence.